rnacentral:rRNA from 1 species
CCUACGGGCGGCAGCAGUGAGGAAUAUUGGUCAAUGGCCGAAAGGCUGAACCAGCCAAGCCGCGUGAAGGACGAAUGUGCCAAGCAUUGUAAACUUCUUUUAUCAAGGGACAAAAUCAGGCUCGAGAGCCUGACCGUGUGUACUUGAAGAAAAAGCAUCGGCUAACUCCGUGCCAGCAGCCGCGGUAAUACGGAGGAUGCGAGCGUUAUCCGGAUUUAUUGGGUUUAAAGGGUGCGUAGGCGGGCUGUUAAGUCAGCGGUAAAAGCCCGGGGCUCAACCCCGGCGAGCCGUUGAAACUGGCUGUCUUGAGAUGUCGAGAGGUAUGCGGAAUGCGCAGUGUAGCGGUGAAAUGCUUAGAUAUUGCGAAGAACUCCGUUUGCGAAGGCAGCAUACCGGCGGCGAUCUGACGCUGAGGCACGAAAGCGUGGGUAUCGAACAGGAUUAGAUACCCUUGUAGUC